ACUCUUAUCUCAGUUGAUAAUUGGCCGUUGCCGACUAAACGUGAUUUUUUUUUUCCAAAAAACUUUUUUAUUUACUUAACAAAUAAAUGUAUUUGUUAAAGCCUUUGACCCUACCGUGACGUGCGCAUCUACUGUGUUUAAAUAACGAGCUCUGGAUAUAAAUUGACCAAGAAAAAAUCAAUAAAAAUACCAGAUUUUUUAAAAAAAUGUUAACAGAUAUUAAUGAUCUCUUUGAAAAAAUGAAUGUUUGUACUUGUACUUGAAGUUUAUAAGAAUUUAAAUAGCACUAGGCUAAACAAGAUUUUGUAAAAAAAUAUGGAAAUACUUCGGCAACACUUGUUAAAAUUCUGAUUCUACUACAACCUCGCCAUCUGAAGACUGUGAUCAUAUAUUUAGUGAUCGAAUAUACAAGCCAAUGGUAGAAGCCCACAAAGGGAUAGAUCUGAAUGAGAAUCAUACAUUGAAAAUCCUGACCCUGACAUGUACCACAAAUAUUGCAGAAGAAAAUACAUGCCAACUGAUAAUUUCAGGUUUUGAGGUUAUUAAUUAUAAAUAAUACCAACAUUUGAACACCUGUGUUUAAAUUCUGACAUAUUUUACACUAGAAAAUAGUUGUAUGGCCACUUCAGCUAAAACUACUCAUUAAUUGCAUUGUAUAAAAUUGUAUAACUGUACUUAUUGUUUAUUACAGAAACGAUGAAAGUGAUGGUGAUAAUAUAAUAUUAUGUGAGCUAUAAACUACUGUCAAAAUGUACGUUGUAAACAUGUAAAAAUGUAAAGAUUAAGUUGAUUGUUCUAUUUCAUAGUAAUAAUAAUUAAUGAGUAUUACAUAUUAAGUAAGUAA